GAGGAAGUCAAACAAAAAUGGAUUCCUCAAGUAACUGCGAGUGAAUAAGGAAUUGCUCGAUUUGGAAUUUGGGGGCUUUUGCCUCCGAACUGUAUUUUCUGAAUGUGUUGCCAAUGGAGGCGCAGAUGUGAGCCUUUCUGGGAAAAAGAGACUAGCAAGCUUCAACAAGGGUGAAAAUCCCAGUUGCCAAUUGCAGACCUCCAUUUACGGUGUGCACUUCCAGAAUCACCCUCCUUGGAACUGGAGUGCAAAGAGGGUGGUAAAUCUCAGUCAAAGGUGAAUACAUUUGUUGGGACCGAUAGUGAAAAAGUACCGCGAGGGAAAUAUGAAAAGGACUUUGAAAAGAGACUUAAAAGAGCCUGCACUUGCUGAAUGUAAAGCAUACAGAAUAGUGAAUUAUUUUGAAAGAAUGCUGUGUGGUCACCCAAAUGGUCCAUUCCCUUUCGAAAAAUGGAGUUCUGAGGUCUGCAUGNGUGCUGCAUGUGGAGUUUUCUUUCUUUAUGUGCCNGUUGCAAUUGACACAGUUUUAUCUUGCAUGCGUUGGGUUGCGUGCCCUUGGGUGUGUGAUUGUGCGUGCGUGAUAUUUUGUAAAUUGUUGGGGAUCUGGGUGCCAGUGGUGUUGUUGAAGGCUGCCCGAGCCCUUUGCUGGAGGAUUCCACAGAAAUUCUGGUCCAACCCUCUGACAAGCCACUUCUGUGUGACCCGUCUUGAAAACAC
rnacentral:rRNA from 1 species